rnacentral:sRNA from 1 species
AUGGCCUGAGAUUUAAUGCUCUCUCAGGGUUUGAUUGCUGAGAUCUUGUUGCGAUGUUCUGUAGGCUGCUUGGCUGUCCUUUUGUAAACUGGCAAUAACAGCCGGCAGCUGAUAAAUUGAUCAGCAGCAAUCCAGAUCUCCAACAGGGAGGAGAGUAGGAAACCCUUGUUGUGUCUUGAGCACUAGUAUGGGGAUCUGUUACAAACUUCCGAAUGUUGAAACUCUACAGAUCUGUACAUUUAAAGAAGCUGGCUAAGCUUCGAAGCCGAGAGAAUAUCAGAAUUCGAGGCAUUCUGUUUUUCAAGAGGAAAGAUAGAUUAACUUGUCGAAAAUU